rnacentral:rRNA from 1 species
CAUCCAGACCUGGAUCUCCUUUCUCUAUUUCUUCUUCCUGCUUUCAUCUUCACAUGCGAUACACCCCAUCGCGCCCGAACUGCUAACGCCCAAUGCGGAGCCCCUGCCGCCACCACCUCCCCUCGGCUCCAUUCAGGGCCAGACGCCCUUGCCGCCUCCGCCGGCCACUGGGGUUCCUCCACUGCCCGGCUCCGGCGGCGCCUCCACCGCCGGCCGGCGAGCCUCCAUGAGCCCCUUCUAGGCCUGCAAGUCACAGGUAACUUGCAACCCCAGAUCCCCUAA